GGUGAGGGCGGGGAAGUUGGGAGGAACAGAGACCAGGAGUUCAGAGCAGGCACGUGCGGCCCAGAGCCUCAGCUUCUCAGCACGCGGGGCCGGCUAAUGAAGGCCCGCAGCGCGCCAGGCCGCGCGUGCAGCCGUCUAGGCGCCUGGGCCCGGGCUCCGCGAGCGAGCAGACUGCGGCGCAGCCUUCCUAACAGGCCGCGCGCGGCGGCGGCGGCGCAGCCCUAGUGCUCGGCUAGGCUGCCACCCCCGAGCACCUAGGGGUUCUCCCGGCGCACGUCCGCGCUCUCGGGGCUCCGGUCCCCUGCGCUCACCGGAGCACGUCGGUUCCCCGCCCCCCUACCCGGGGUAACACGUUAAUAACAAUCAUCCCCGCACAAAGCGUUUUCUCUCUAGACGUCAAUCACAGCGGAGCGGGGAUCACCGGGCUAAAGGGGGUGCAUGGGGGUGGGGUGGGAGAGAAGAAAAGAGGAUUUGAGGAGGGAGUAAGGGUAGAAACUUGAUUUCUUUAAUAGCCUCAAUUAAAAGAGCAAGACACAUAUAUUUUUAAAAGGGGGCUUUUUGAAUUGGAUAGCCCGAAAGGUGAAGAGGUUUAAUAGGAUACUUGAAGGCUAAUUACAGCGGGAUUUAAGAAGCCUGGUGUUUGUUCCGAUGACAAUUUGAAUGAAAAUGCUUCAGAUUAAACCGAGCCAGCAGCUCUUUCGUAAACUUACAGCAAUUAGAGCUGCGAGUGAUUUAUACUCGUUUCUUUAAGGUGUAAAUUGCCACUUAUUGCUCAGUAAGUCAACAUUUCAGCUACUAAAGGAUUAUUUUUAACCAGCGCAAAAAGCGGGUCGAAUAAUGGAAAAUAUCCAGCUGAAUUUAAUUUGUGUCAUUAAAAAACCUCACCCAACCUCGGUCAAAAUGUUUUAAAGCAACAACGCUCAUUACUCAAGUGUCUCCAAGCCUUUGCUGAAGUUAUGUUCUUAAACGAAAAUGCAGCCGCUCUGGGCUUUUUCUGCCUUCGUUUACGGAAAACUCUAGCUUGGUCGGGGGGCGGUUCCCGGGACUGAGCGGCCCACACUUCUGCGUUUCGGUCUCUUUCCUUCCUUCUUUCCCUCCAUCGUGCAGCGCCAGGCGAGACGGUGUCCGAACCCCAGCAUCCCCCGGUCUGUCUGCCCGGACCCUCGGGUAGGGUUCCAUAGCGGGCCCCAGAGCCGCCGUAAGGGGGUCGCGUCCUCGCUGACACAAAGAGGUUAGGCAGAAGAGCCCCUCGUUCGCCGUGUCUUCACCGCCAGGGUCAGAACACAGACCAAGUCAGCCGUGCCCAGUGCGGGUCCCACAGAGGCACUCAGACAGGAAGCAGCUGGUUUUUCAGACCGAACGCGAGUCACCCACGGGUCCUGCCUCCAGAGUGAGAGGCUUCUGGGCUUGGAGAAGAAGAGUGGUCGUCAGACACGCGAAGACCUGAAAGACUGGUCUGGCGCCCGCUUUACUCCUGGCGCCCGGCAGGGACGCGGACCUUUCCUGUGGGUAAUAGCGUGCACCCAGCCUUGCACUGUAGGCCUCCCGGUGGUAACCGCGCCAGGGGUUCGCCUGAGAACUGUUGGAAAUUGGAGGUGGGGAAGAUCUUAGCGCGGGCCAAGGCCGAGGCUGCAGGGGCUUCCUGGCGAGGCUAGAGUGCUCCAGCGCGGGACCGUCGGGAACGCACCACUGGCAGACCCAGCCUCCGCUCUCACGCCUGCCCGGCGUCUAUUCCGCUAACUGCUGUGGGAUGCGCCCGCUGGGACCAGCUGUCACCCGCGGUUCAAGAAACCCAACAACCAACCGAAGACCGAAUUCUGCGCGGGAGAGGGCUAAUUUGACAACUAAUCAUCAGUGAAUCAAAGACUGGAUUGAACAAGUGACCGCUGCUCUCCCGGUCCCUCCUGUGGUGCAAAGGACAGCUCUCACUUCUGAAUUUUCCUUUGGACUAAAACUCGAGUGGCUGAGUAGAGUCCGCAGAAGCCUCGAUACCGAUCUCUGGCUGUGCACAGGUCAUCUCGCCGCAACUUCUAUCACCAUUCCAGAGACAUCCUUAGAAAUAGUUUGCCCUGAAACAAACAGGUGUAUAAAGUCGACCCCAAUAGAUCUUGGGCAGCAAGCACCCUGGAGGCAGCAACCAUGUACUGUUCGACUCUCUGGAAACUAGUUCAGUAUCUGGCACAGGGCAAUAAAGGAUGGUUUUUUUGAAUGAAAAUAUGUGCUGGCAGGUGCAGAAGGUUUCACACUUUUCUCUGUAUUCUUAGUUCUAGCUUCCAGUUUCUUUACAUUGGCACCUUCUUGCCCAGGACCCAAAUCUUUCAAUCCCUUAGAAGAGCAAGGCAAGGAAGGGUACAGAUAGUGUAACAAUUUAAAUUGAGGGAAUUGCCAGCCUCCAGUUUUCUUUUAGGGCAAGGGCUUUAUAAUGGUUCAUUUCUGCCCCUCUGGACUGUCCUUCAAAUCUCAGUGUUUGCAAUUAAAUUGGAAAGCUAUUCUGGGUGCCUCAGAGACCAUCCGGUCUGAGCCUCAGUUAUAGAGGAGGGGGCUAACAGGAUUAAGAAUUGGAACAUAUUGGACCCCAGAAGACUGGGUAAGCCUUCAUGGACUCACUCCAACUGCACACACGGAAAUGCUGUGUGAAUGGGCCACACGUAAGGGAUGUAAGUUGACAUAUUUUGGCUUGCCCCAGGGCAAAAGAAGGUCUGGGGUGGACAGUUAGGAUAGGAGUUGAGGUCACUUAUAGCCAGAUGCUGAUGCUGUCAGGCCUUCCUGGCUUGGGAAGGAGAUGUACCCCGUUUACAAUCUGCAAAACUGCAGAAGAUUGUGGAGGAGACUUGCUUGCAGUGGAUAGUCUUAAUCUAGACAGAUCCCCUGCUCUGUGUCAGGCCAAAUUGUGCAUUCUGCUGCCUGGGGUGGGUCUCCCAGACUCAACCCUUCUCAAGUAAGGAUAGCUCCUGAAAAGGAAGAGGAACCUUGGGAUUCUGAGACUAGAGUCCGGAAGUCCUGGAAAAGGGCUGGAAGAGGUCUCUCCACCUGAAAUGAUUGUACCAGCCUCAUGGUGUUGAAUUUACUCUGAGGGAAAGCACUAGGGCUUUAUCUUAAAGACUGAGGUCUCUUAAAGACACACCAAGGUUUGCAAACUCAGCUACAGCAGGCAAAGAAACAUGGCAAAAAGAAUCCUUUUAAAAUACAAUAAUUCCUCUCAUUUCCUUCAAAUAGUCACCGCUUCCUCUGGAGGGACUCAGAGCAGCAUUUUUUAAAAGGGUGCCUACACGUUGCACUACCUUUCAGAAAUAAUGCCUCAACUGGCUCAGCGCUUAGUUUGCACUUAUUAUUGCUGUUGGGUUUGAAAGUCACUGAAAAUAAUAGGCAGCAGUUUCUUGCAGAGCUUUUUAAUAAAUACAAUGCCUUUUCAAGGUUUCUUGUUCCUCCCUUUUUCAAAAUACUUUUGCCCUGCUUCAAUAAUUAAUUUUAGGCAUAUAAUGGGAAAAACCUCUCACAUUAUAAAACAUCUAGAUCACUCUGUAAAUUGUCUUUUAAAGCUCAGGAUGGAAAAAAAUUAGGCAGUUAGUAAACUAAGCCAUAAUUCAUGAUUUAUACACUGUCCCCCACACCCCACCCAGGCUGAGAUAUCUUUUUUUUCCUAAAAAGGCUUAGUAUUUUGAGAGGUGAAUGUGUGCAUGUAUGUAGAUACUCUUAUAAUAAGGAAUAUCAUUUAUUGUUUGGCAUCACCUGGAUUUCACAUAUAUCGUCACAUAUACUCCUCACAAUCGCAGAGGAAGUAGAUAUUAUUAUGUCCAGUUCACAGGUGGGGAACCCAAAGCUCAGAGAGGAGACUCAAGUUCUCAAGGUCACUGAUUCCAAGGUCUUAACCAUUGUGCCACAUAAAAAAAUAUAGGUUGAACAUCGAAGGGUAUGAAGCAAAGUCCCCCUCCAUGGUUGGACAUGUGGUCUCUCUCUUCCAUUUGGAGAGGCCUGAAUUCUCUUAGGAGUUGGGGAAGAAGAGGACAGCAGGCAAGGCUUGAGGGAGCUAUCUGCGCCGCCGCUGUCUGUUGUGUAGGGCUCAGAAGCAGGUUUGAAGCCCGAAGGGGAAGAGAGAGGAAGGGCUAGAGAAAUGGAAAGCUGGCGGGGGUGGAGGCAGAUCGCGUGCUGGGGGAACACUUUCUCAUGCCUGGUCGUAAAUAUUUGCAUUUCCUUGGAAACCCCCAAGACCGAGGCGCUGGCCUGCAAGCCCCCCCCCUGUGGAGCUGAGGUCCUUCCCCGCCGGCAGCGGCCUAGGCUGGCUCGGCUCUGCUUUUGGAGGCGACCUCCCAUGAACAACUCUGGAGCCCCUCACGUCCACGAAGCGUUCGGGCCGCGGUUCCCAGACCCUUGGCUUUGGUCCCGGCCGGGCGGCCCCGGGGCAGGCUGGGAGCGAGCCCGCCGCGCGGUGCACCCCGGGAGACGCCGAGGCUGUGAGUGCCGCGCGUGGCGACGAGGGCGAGCGUCCGUGCUGCUUGCCCUGGACCCAGUACAGGCGGGGGAAUUCUGCGUGAACCCCCACAUCUCUGAUCCAAGCUCGGGGAGAAAGCGGGAGGAGGGGAGCCGCGAGUCCAAGCGCCCGAAUGCCUACCCCAGGCAAGCCUCUGAGUCAGGAUGGUCGCCCUCGUGGGUUUGACCUCUGCCCUCUUCGUGCCCUUUUCCGUGGGCGACCCUAGGGCGGAAACUUGGGUUUCAAAUGCGAAACAUUUGUCUCCUGGAAUCACAUCUGGCUUCCAAUGUAUGUUAAGACUUUUCUUAACCGAAAAAGUCAGCGCCUGAAGGACACCCAAGGCUCAAGGCCUUCUGCCCCUCAGCUGUAUCUGCCGCAAAUAGGUAGGUGAUUCUUAUUCAACCCUUCCCCCAGAGUGCACAUCCUAGUACCUCACAGGCAGCUGUUACUGAAGAGGGAAAACCUAAAACCCAAACCUACGACAAACCAGGCCGUGGAGCGAGGCCUGACUAGGUCAGAACAACGUAUGUCUGAGUUGAUCUGACUCAAAAUGCCUGAGUUGGGAAUGCAGGCUUUGGCUUGGACUGGUCUCCUUCCAGGCAUAGUGUCUACGCAGGCCUCUCAUAGCCCUGGAGAUCUAGGCCCUAGGGGCAUACAACCUGACCUGAGCUUGGGAGGGGGCAGAGUUCUGGCCUUUGGAGUUCAGUCUACUUGGUCUUGGUUUCUGUGCCAACCAUAAUGUUUGGCCCUUGGUACUUUUAACACUCUUGUGCAAUGUUUGGACAGAUAACUUGUAACUGAUCAGGCACUUGUAUACAGCUCUAAUAAAAGUAUGUGUGUAUGAGAGAGAGAGGGAGGGAGGGGGAGAUUUUUCUGGGCAGAUGAGAAUAUUUGCAGUUUCAAGCGAAGGAUGGGGCCCUUAGAUCCUUUAAAAUUUCUAGGUUAAUGCAAGAACGUAUUUCCUAAAAUAUCAUAUUUUUAAAAGCAUGUAUGAAAAAAUGCAUUCUUAAUUUUGGCUACCCUGAUAGAAGUUUAAUACUAACCAUAAGAGGAAGCCAAAGGGAAAAUAUUUAUUUGCCAACCUUGGUCUGGAAAAAUAUCAGUAGCAUUUCUUAUUUGAGAAGGAAAUGCAUUUAUUCAGUCUUUCUUUUUCAGUUGGCAAGGGCAUCGUUUUUAAUAUAUAUCCCAUGUUUAUUGUUUCUGUUUGGUACUUUGGUCAUUUGCAGCACAUCUGUUUCUGAUAUUGUUCCUGUGUUAAGCACACACUAUUGUGUUAGCAAGAUUUUACACCAUCUGUUUAAAUUAUACUUCUUCAUUUUAUAAUGUUCUCUCAGUCCUGGGCAUAUAUAAAAUAUACUUUAAUGAGAUUAUGCUUUUAUACUUGCUGACAGACAUCAGAAACACAUUUGCCCAGGUCAACAGUUUAGCUAAAUGUUGCAUAGAAGGAACAAUAUUAAAAUAGUAAAGAUGCUGGAAAAGAAAAAUAUUUAGAAACAAAACUAUUAAAUUAAAAUAAAAUACUGCUUCGCACACAAAAGAAUUUGGAUGUGGCUACUGGAAGUUAAUGUAUGUUUCCGAACAUUUAUGUAUCUCUUCAUUAUAUAUAUUAAACUUGGCAAUUUGUAUUUCUGAUAUUAUUGGUAAAAGUAUAGCAACUGGUUUAAAAUAUAAAGUAGAAUAACAUAAUGUAACUAUCAAAUAUAUAUUAAAUGUAAUAAUACAGAUAAAGUUAAUUAUUGAGCCUAACCAAAAUUACACAUACAAUAUACAUAUUAUAUUUAUAUAUAUAAAAUCUCAUGGUCAUUCAUAAAGAUUUUUCACCAUGUUAUCAAAAAGUAACAGGAAAUGUUGCCUGCUUCUGUGCUUUUUAAAAGUAGAGCUAUUUGUGACAAUUCAAAAAAUAUUAAAUAUCUAUAUUUGAUGGCUAAGCAUAUGUAUGUAAUUGUGGUAUAACUAAGACAGAAAUUGGCUUGAAAAAGUGAAUACUGGCUGAAUGUUUUCAAGUAUUUUUUCUAGAACAUAACACACCUAUUGAUGCCUUGACCUAUUUUGUUUACAUCCAAUGUGCAUACCCCAGUGUAAAACCUUAAAAAUGGUAAUUUCAUAUACUUUAGUUAUAAACACAGAAAUAUAAACCUUGACACUUGGGUUAAUAAAUUUCUGAUAUUCAUUCCUGGAAAUUAGCAUUCUUCAAUUGACAAAGACAUCUCCUUUGAUUGAGUUCUGCCAAAAACAGAUUGUCACAGUCUUUCAGUUGUUACCUUGGCAGACUGCUUUUAUGACAGACGCUAUGAUUAAAGAUGUGUCCAUUAGAUAACUUCUUAGGGGUUUAUAGUUUAUAUUUGUUUCUUUAGGAACAUAAAUCUUUGUUUUGGUGUAUUUAAAUUCUAAGUAAAAUGUAUCCAUGGUGGUGUGGGUAAUAGACAUUGUUUAAGCAAGAGAGCUGGCAUUCAGUACCUGGUUACUGAAUGAUAAAUCCGGUUAUAUAGCUGGAACCAGUUUCAGAAUAUUCCUGCCUAUAUAUACUUCUAAAAAAGUAUCUAUCAAAAUCUACAGUUUUCUUAAACUAUUAAUAUGGAUGUGUCAAAUGUAACCUAUAAAUUUUUUAAUGACUGAUGUUACAAAAAAAAGCAAACCUUAUGAAUCUUCACAUGUCUAGUUCCAAUUAAUCUGUUUAGACCAUUUAUUGGAUAAAGUAACAAAUCUGAUUUUGUCAAUCUGGAGUUCCGUGCCAAUAUUCUGUGUGCCUCUUUGAUGUCUAAUGCCUUUUCCUACACUUAUUUAGUCCAUAGUUACCCUCGUGUAAAACCUGGGAUUAGAAGAAUAAUUAACUAGAAACAUUUUCUUAAAAAAGUAUUUUUCAGCCACAUCCGUAUAAAAGUGGUGGUCUCAAAUUGAUGUCAAUGAUUAUUGAAAGAAAACUAUAUAUAUCUUUGUGAGUGCAUUUCAUCAUCUACAAUGUGCCAGGUGCUGAGGGUACACAGAGAGUAAGCAUGGGUGGUCCUUGCUCUCAGAAAAUUCCCAAUCCAUUAAGGAGACUGACAAAAAUAUAACUAGCUCAUCCCUGCAGUUUUAUAAUGAUUUUGGACUAUUCCUUGGGCUUUGCUGUGAGCCACAGGGGAAGUCCACAUUCCUUGGGCUUUAAAUUGGUAAAGUGUCAGAUGAUCUUGUCAUAAUAUUUUCAAUAGAUUUUUUGAAUUUUAAAAAAUUGUAUAGAAUUUGUAUGG